UACGUAGGGGGCAAGCGUUGUCCGGAUUUAUUGGGCGUAAAGCGCGUGUAGGCGGCUGGGUAGGUCCGCUGUGAAAACUCGAGGCUCAACCUCGAGACGUCGGCGGAAACCAUCCAGCUAGAGUCCGGAAGAGGAGAGUGGAAUUCCUGGUGUAGCGGUGAAAUGACGCAGAUAUCAGGAAGAACACCCGUGGCGAAAGCGGCUCUCUGGGACGGUACUGACGCUGAGACGCGAAAGCGUGGGGAGCGAACAGGA
rnacentral:rRNA from 1 species